GACGAAGGAUGCAAGCGUUAUCCGGAUUCAUUGGGUUUAAAGGGAGCGUAGGUGGCCUUAUAAGUCAGUGGUGAAAUCUCUCGGCUUAACCGAGAAAUUGCCAUUGAUACUGUAGGGCUUGAGUACAGAUGCCGUUGGCGGAAUAUGACAUGUAGUGGUGAAAUACAUAGAGAUGUCAUAGAACACCGAUUGCGAAGGCAGCUGACGAAACCGUAACUGACACUGAGGCUCGAAAGUGCGGGGAUCAAACAGG
rnacentral:rRNA from 1 species